GUUCAGGUGAAGAAUAGCUUGUAAAUAGGUACUAUCCCUAAAGUGUGAUGUUUUACAUCUGAUACUACUGUACCUUCUCCCUGGGUGACUGUGAAUAGAUGGUGUGCUGGAUGGGAGAGGUCAGAGAUGAUGUUUACGGCUUUCUUGGAAAGAAAAAAAAGGCAGACUACAGCCAACGAUUUUAGAGGCCCUGUGUACUACCCUCUCAAGCCGUUGUUUGUCCUGGCUGGUGGUGGCACUACCAUACCAUGCCAGAGCAGGAUGGAGAAGAAAAGCCCAAGGACUCAGAACAUGAAGCCAAAGAAGUAGAUGAUGACUCGGACCAGACAUACCAAAUGGAAAAGCCCAUUAAACAAAAGUAAUCAACCCUACUGGAGAUGAAUGCGAAAUUCUAAAUCAAGUUUUAACAUUAGAUUUCUAAGUUUCCAAAGGAUAGGUCAAGCAGAAGUAGUGCAAAAGGUGUCCUACUUGCUUCGGUAGGAGGGGAAACGUAUAGUCUAAUAAACGUUUUUAGUCUUGCACCAAAUCGUCAAGGUACUCAUGGCUGUCAGUUAGCGGUAUAACAAUAUUUUAAAAAAAAUUUUAAGAAAUCUUAAGUGAUGAAAUAUAUUGCUCUACGCUCUAUAGGGCUGCUUGAUUAUCGUAAAAAUCAUUAUCACGAUUAUUUUGUUCAAUAUUGAGAUCACGAUUAUUAGAUGUGAUUACUCAGUGAUUUUGGAACUAUCAUCCAUAUUCAAAAUGCAAUUUUUAAAAAUGUUUUAGUUGAAUUUUAAAUAUAAUCCAACAGGAAAAAAUACAUGUAAAAAGAUAAUGCACAAGACAACUUGAGACAAAAGGAGAGCAUUGUAAUGAAACUGAAUGUUGCAAAAUAAUGAUUAUAUUUUGAUUAUGCUAUUUUCAUAAUUGUUUAAUUUGAGUUAUUUCACAAUAGGUUUCAAAGAAUUGCUGUACUACUUUAAGAUUAUUAUUUUUAUUUAUGUGGUGAUGAUGAUGCCUCCCUUCCUUCAGAUGGAGGCUGCUGAGGCAGUUCAUCAAUACAACACACACAAACACACAAAUGACGUGGAAAUAAAGCAUGCCAUGCUUAACUCAUCAAGUGAAGUGUUAUUUGGAUAAGAUCGUACCAAUGUAGUAAUACAAUAUGUAUCUACUCAUGAUAAAGUGAAGGUAUUGCUACAACAUUUAAAGGUGAAUAUCUCUGGCCUAUCACUGAGAUGUGUUUAUAGUCAGAAGUUGCAGAGCAUCUUCAAAAGUAUGACACCCAUUAGGCUCCAUGAUCUUGGCAAAUUUGAGCUGGUUUACCGAGAUGUUGUACCACUUAAAGAGUGCAAUAAAAUUGUAUUAAUUAACUGUCA